GGUAUGCUUACACAUGCAAGUCGAACGGAGUAGCAAUACUUAGUGGCGGACGGGUGAGUAACGCGUAAGAAUCUAGCUUCAGGUUCGGGACAACAGUUGGAAACGACUGCUAAUACCGGAUGUGCCUACGGGUGAAAGGCUUGCUGCCUGAAGAAGAGCUUGCGUCCGAUUAGCUAGUUGGUAAGGUAAGAGCUUACCAAGGCAUCGAUCGGUAGCUGGUCUGAGAGGAUGACCAGCCACACUGGGACUGAGACAAGGCCCAGACUCCUACGGGAGGCAGCAGUGGGGAAUUUUCCGCAAUGGGCGAAAGCCUGACGGAGCAAUACCGCGUGAGGGAAGAAGGCUCUUGGGUUGUAAACCUCUUUUCUUAGGGAAUAAAAAAAUGAAGGUACCUAAGGAAUAAGCAUCGGCUAACUCCGUGCCAGCAGCCGCGGUAAUACGGAGGAUGCAAGCGUUAUCCGGAAUGAUUGGGCGUAAAGCGUCCGCAGGUGGUACAACAAGUCUAGUGUCAAAGUCCGGGGCUCAACCCCGGGAAGGCGGUAGAAACUGUUGAACUAGAGGGUCGUAGGGGUAGAGGGAA
rnacentral:rRNA from 1 species